rnacentral:lncRNA from 1 species
UCAUCAAGCAAGUGGGGGAGGUCUCUGGUGGGAAGGGAGAGCACUGUAAUAUGGAAGAGGUGGGACAGCGUCCGUCCGUGUGGACAGCUACUGGCUAUUCCUCGAGAGGAGUCAAAACACAGACAUGGUUCGGGACCAACCAUACAGGCAACUCUAGAGCUUCGUGGGAGAGGACUGAAGAGCUAGCGCCCGGACCGAAUGCACAUGCCCAAGUAGGUGACACAUCUUCCAGGGUCCCUUCCUCAGUGGCUUGGCUUCAAAACUAUACCAACAACCAGAGUCCUUCUCCUCAGCCGUUCUGCCCAAGUUCCACCAAGUUUCUGUUGCCUGACAGGCCCUGGGUCUGAGGUUGGGCCUACAGAAAUACGCUGAGCCCGGCCCAGCCCCGCCCCUAAUAAAAUCACCAUUUAGCAGUG